GACGAACGCUGGCGGCGUGCCUAACACAUGCAAGUCGAACGGGACCGGGGGCAACUCCGGUUCAGUGGCGGACGGGUGCGUAACACGUGAGGAACAUGACCUUCGGCGGGGGAUAGCCGGCCCAACGGCCGGGUAAUACCGCGUACGACCAUUCGGGGACAUCCCUGGAUGGUGAAAGCAGCAAUGCGCCGAUGGAGUGCCUCGCGGCCUAUCAGCUAGUUGGUGGGGUAACGGCCUACCAAGGCGACGACGGGUAGCUGGUCUGAGAGGAUGGCCAGCCACAUUGGGACUGAGACACGGCCCAGACUCCUACGGGAGGCAGCAGUGGGGAAUAUUGCGCAAUGGACGAAAGUCUGACGCAGCGACGCCGCGUGUGGGAUGACGGUCUUCGGAUUGUAAACCACUGUCGGGAGGGACGAAUACGCCGCAAGGCGGGUGACGGGUACCUCCAAAGGAAGCACCGGCUAACUCCGUGCCAGCAGCCGCGGUAAUACGGAGGGUGCGAGCGUUGUCCGGAA
rnacentral:rRNA from 1 species